UUCCAUUGUCGUAGAGGGAUACUUUCAAAUAUCCAGCAUCAUCAUCUACGCGAGUGAGGCUUGACGACAAUAGAGCAUCUCCAUCUAAACAAAUAUCCAGCAUCAUCAUUUUACCUGUAAAAAAGAAAACAAUUAAAAUCAGAUGACAAAUGUAAAAACAAUUAAAUCAUAAAAGUCAUUUUACCUGUAAUAAAGAAAACAAUUAAAUCAUUUGACCUGUACCUUUU
rnacentral:lncRNA from 1 species